rnacentral:rRNA from 1 species
GUAGCUAUAGAGAGAGGGAAACGCCCGGCCCCAUUCCGAACCCGGAAGCUAAGCCUCUCAUCGCUGAUAAUACUGCGUCUUUCAGAUGUGGGAACGUAGGUCGCCGCCUAGU